AACGAACGCUGGCGGCAGGCUUAACACAUGCAAGUCGAACGCAUCCUUCGGGGUGAGUGGCAGACGGGUGAGUAACGCGUGGGAACGUGCCCUUCAGUUCGGGAUAACCCAGGGAAACUUGGGCUAAUACCGGAUACGUGCGCGAGCAGAAAGAUUUAUCGCUGAAGGAUCGGCCCGCGUCUGAUUAGCUAGUUGGUGGGGUAAUGGCCCACCAAGGCGACGAUCAGUAGCUGGUCUGAGAUGAUGAUCAGCCACAUUGGGACUGAGACACGGCCCAAACUCCUAAGGGAGGCAGCAGUGGGGAAUAUUGGACAAUGGGCGCAAGCCUGUUCCAGCCAUGCUGCGUGAGUGAUGAAGGCCUUAGGGUUGUAAAGCUCUUUCGUCCGGGACGAUAAUGACGGUACCGGAAGAAGAAGCCCCGGCUAACUUCGUGCCAGCAGCCGCGGUAA
rnacentral:rRNA from 1 species